rnacentral:rRNA from 1 species
GAUGAACGCUGGCGGCGUGCCUAAUACAUGCAAGUCGAACGAAACUUCUUUAUCACCGAGUGCUUGCACUCACCGAUAAAGAGUUGAGUGGCGAACGGGUGAGUAACACGUGGGCAACCUGCCCAAAAGAGGGGGAUAACACUUGGAAACAGGUGCUAAUACCGCAUAACCAUAGUUACCGCAUGGUAACUAUGUAAGAGGUGGCUAUACUACCGCUUUUGGAUGGGCCCGCGGCGCAUUAGCUAGUUGGUAGGGUAAAGGCUUACCAAGGCAAUGAUGCGUAGCCGAAUUGAGAGGUUGAUCGGCCACAUUGGGACUGAGACACGGCCCAAACUCCUACGGGAGGCAGCAGUAGGGAAUCUUCCACAAUGGGCGAAAGCCUGAUGGAGCAACGCCGCGUGGGUGAAGAAGGUCUUCGGAUCGUAAAACCCUGUUGUUAGAGAAGAAAGUGCGUGAGAGUAACUGUUCACGUUUCGACGGUAUCUAACCAGAAAGCCACGGCUAACUACGUG